rnacentral:rRNA from 1 species
AACGAACGCUGGCGGCAGGCCUAACACAUGCAAGUCGAGCGGGGAAAGGUAGCUUGCUACCUGACCUAGCGGCGGACGGGUGAGUAAUGCUUAGGAAUCCGCCUAUUAGUGGGGGACAACAUCUCGAAAGGGAUGCUAAUACCGCAUACGUCCUACGAGAGAAAGCAGGGGACCUUCGGGCCUUGCGCUAAUAGAUGAGCCUAAGUCGGAUUAGCUAGUUGGUGGGGUAAAGGCCUACCAAGGCGACGAUCUGUAGCGGGUCUGAGAGGAUGAUCCGCCACACUGGGACCGAGACACGGCCCAGACUCCUACGGGAGGCAGCAGUGGGGAAUAUUGGACAAUGGGGGGAACCCUGAUCCAGCCAUGCCGCGUGUGUGAAGAAGGCCUUUUGGUUGUAAAGCACUUUAAGCGAGGAGGAGGCUACCGAGAUUAAUACUCUUGGAUAGUGGACGUUACUCGCAGAAUAAGCACCGGCUAACUCUGUGCCAGCCGCCGCAGUAACAC